rnacentral:rRNA from 1 species
ACCUACGGGGGGCAGCAGUAGGGAAUCUUCCACGAUGGGCGAAAGCCUGAUGGAGCAACGCCGCGUGGGUGAAGAAGGUCUUCGGAUCGUAAAACCCUGUUGUUAGAGAAGAAAGUGCGUGAGAGUAACUGUUCACGUUUCGACGGUAUCUAACCAGAAAGCCGCGGCUAACUACGUGCCAGCAGCCGCGGUAAUACGUAGGUGGCAAGCGUUAUCCGGAUUUAUUGGGCGUAAAGGGAACGCAGGCGGUCUUUUAAGUCUGAUGUGAAAGCCUUCGGCUUAACCGGAGUAGUGCAUUGGAAACU